AAGGAUCAUUAUCGUACAACCGAGGUGCAAAGGCUGUCGCUGACCCUCAAAGGUUGUGCACGCCCGAGCGCUCUCACACAAUCCAUCUCACCUUUUGUGCAUCACCGCGUGGGUCCCCUUUGCGGGAGGGCUUGCGUUUUCACAUAAAACUCGAUACAGUGUAGAAUGUUUCUUUUGCGGUCACACGCAAUCAAUACAACUUUCAACAACGGAUCUCUUGGCUCUCGCAUCGAUGAAGAACGCAGCGAAAUGCGAUACGUAAUGUGAAUUGCAGAAUUCAGUGAAUCAUCGAAUCUUUGAACGCACCUUGCGCCCCUUGGCAUUCCGAGGGGCACACCCGUUUGAGUGUCGUGAAAUCUUCAAAACCCUUUUUUCUUUGAACCAUUGCGGUCGGGAAAAGGAUUUUUGGACUUGGAGGUUUAAUGCUUGCCCUUUCUUUUGAAAGCGAGCUCCUCCCAAAUGAAUUAGUGGGGUCCGCUUUGCUGAUCCUUGACGUGAUAAAAUGUUUCUACGUUUUGGGUUUAGCACUGUCCCUUGGAUGCCUGCUCCUAACCGUCUCAUUGACAAUGAUGGUGCUCUGGUCACUGCCGUCUCCAUCGGCGGGAGGCUGGACCCACAAAAAGAAAACCUUGA
rnacentral:rRNA from 1 species